rnacentral:lncRNA from 1 species
GCUGCCCUCGGUAGCAGUAGCAACCGACUGCGGUCCCCUUUCACGUUGUGGGGCCAGUGUUCUUUUGCUAUUUGCAGUAAACCUUGCCGCUGGUCACUUUGGGUCCACACUGCGUUUAUGAGGUGUAACACUCACUGUGAAGGUCUGCAGCUUCACUCCUGAAGCCAGGGAGAGCACGAACCCACCAUGGGGGAACAAACAACUCCAGACGUGCUGCCUUAAGAGCUGUAACACUCGCCGUAAAGGUUUGCAGGUUCACUCCUGAGCCAGCGAGACCAUGAACCCCCCAGAAGGAAGAAACUCGGAGCACAUCCGAACAUCAGAAGGAGCAAACGCCAGACACGCUGCGUUUAAGAACAGCAACACUCACCACGAGAGUCUGCGGCUUCAUUCUUGAAAACUUGGCAGAAUCUAGUGCUGGUCCUGGAGCUAAGUCUUGAGAAGACCUGGAGGCUUCCACUUCUGCGCUUUUGGAAAUUCUGAGCUUCCGUGUUAGAAGAGUUGCUACCCUUCUGGAGAUACUACAUGGAAAGACCUCAUGAAGAGGCCAUAUGGAAAGGGAGAAGCCUUGUCCAACCAUCUCCACCAAGGUCCCAGGCAUAUGAGAGAGCCAACUUGGACAGUCUGGUCCUGUUGAGCCCCCAGAUGCCCACAGUCUCAGUUGACAACAUGUGGAGCAGAAGAACUGCCCAGAUGAGCCCAGCCAACCCAGUGAAUCAUGAGAAUAAGGAAAUGGUUUUUGCUUAAAGCUUUUGCUUUGAAGUGGUUCCUUAUGCAGCAGUAGAUAUCUGAAACAGGGGGCAUUGAUUAGUGACAUCAAGGCCCUAGGGGAUGGCAGAACUCCCAGAUGGAAGAAAGCUGGAUGUCUGAGUCAUGGCAAGGAGAGC